ensembl:snRNA U6 U6 spliceosomal RNA
GUGCUUACUUCAACAGCACAUAUACUAAAAUUAGAAUGAUACAGAGAAGAUUAGCAUGGAACCUGCUCAAGGAUGACUUGAAAAUUCAUUUAGGAUUCUAUAUUUUU